rnacentral:rRNA from 1 species
GGAUUGCCCUAGUAACGGCGAGUGAAGCGGCAAUAGCUCAAAUUUGAAAUCUGGCUCUUUUAGAGUCCGAGUUGUAAUUUGCAGAGGGCGCUUUGGCGUUGGCAGCGGUCCAAGUUCUUUGGAACAGGACGUCACAGAGGGUGAGAAUCCCGUACGUGGUCGCUAGCCUUCGCCGUGUAAAGCCCCUUCGACGAGUCGAGUUGUUUGGGAAUGCAGCUCUAAAUGGGAGGUAAAUUUCUUCUAAAGCUAAAUACUGGCCAGAGACCGAUAGCGCACAAGUAGAGUGAUCGAAAGAUGAAAAGCACUUUGGAAAGAGAGUCAAAUAGCACGUGAAAUUGUUGAAAGGGAAGCGCUUGCAGCCAGACUUGCCUGUAGUUGCUUAUCUGGACUUUUGUCCAGUGCACUCUUCUGCGGGCAGGCCAGCAUCAGUUUGGGCGGUUGGAUAAAGGUCUCUGUCAUGUACCUCCCUUCGGGGAGGCCUUAUAGGGGAGACGACAUGCAACCAGCCUGGACUGAGGUCCGCGCAUCUGCUAGGAUGCUGGCGUAAUGGCUGUAAGCGGCCCGUCUUGAAACACGGACCAAGGAGUCUAACAUCUAUGCGAGUGUUUGGGUGUCAAGCCCAGACGCGUAAUGAAAGUGAACGGAGGUGGGAACCUUUUAGGUGCACCAUCGACCGAUCCUGAUGUCUUCGGAAGGAUUUGAGUAAGAGCAUGGCUGUUGGGACCCGAAAGAUGGUGAACUAUGCUUGAAUAGGGUGAAGCCAGAGGAAACUCUGGUGGAGGCUCGCAGCGGUUCUGACGUGCAAAUCGAUCGUCAAAUUUGGGCAUAGGGGCGAAAGACUAAUCGAACUAUCUAGUAGCUGGUUCCUGCCGAAGUUUCCCUCAGGAUAGCAGUAACGUAUUCAGUUUUAUGAGGUAAAGCGAAUGAUUAGAGGCCUGGGGGUUGAAACAACCUUCACCUAUUCUCAAACUUUAAAUAUGUAAGAAGUCCUUGUUACUUGAUUGAACGUGGACACUUGAAUGUACCGUUACUAGUGGGCCAUUUUUGGUAAGCAGAACUGGCGAUGCGGGAUGAACCGAACGCGGGGUUAAGGUGCCAGAAUAUACGCUCAUCAGACACCACAAAAGGUGUUAGUUCAUCUAGACAGCAGGACGGUGGCCAUGGAAGUCGGAAUCCGCUAAGGAGUGUGUAACAACUCACCUGCCGAAUGAACUAGCCCUGAAAAUGGAUGGCGCUCAAGCGUAUUACCCAUACCCCGCCGCCGGGGCAGAAUUUAUGCCCCGGCGAGUAGGC